AAUCAACGCUGGCGGCGUGCCUCAGACAUGCAAGUCGAACGAUUAAAGCUCUCUUCGGAGAGUGUAUAGAGUGGCGCACGGGUGAGUAACACGUAAGUAAUCUACCUUCGAGUGGGGAAUAACACCGAGAAAUCGGUGCUAAUACCGCAUAAUGCAGCGGCAUCGCAAGAUGACAGUUGUUAAAGAUUUAUCGCUUGAAGAGGAGCUUGCGGCAGAUUAGCUAGUUGGUAAGGUAAUGGCUUACCAAGGCUACGAUCUGUAACCGGUCUAAGAGGACGGUCGGUCACACUGACACUGAAUAACGGGUCAGACUCCUACGGGAGGCAGCAGUCGGGAAUUUUGGGCAAUGGGCGAAAGCCUGACCCAGCAACGCCGCGUGAAGGAUGAAGUAUUUCGGUAUGUAAACUUCGAAAGAAUA
rnacentral:rRNA from 1 species